CGUCGAGCUGCAAACUUUUCAGCUUGGCUUCCUGCCGCAUGUGCCCCUGAUUUUCGGAUUACAGCCUGUGGCAACUUAGCAGCUCCUCCCCCGUCGUCAUGGCUGACAACCCUUGCAGAAACUUUAGACGGGCAAAAGGAACAUGUAACGCACCGAAACGCUCUUGUAACUCGCUAUCCAUGCCACUCCGCCCCCCGCUGCCGUCCGGAAAAGUACGUGCCACGCCCACAUG